CAAACUGGGAUUAGAUACCCCACUAUGCUUAGCCCUAAACAUAAACCCUUACUAACGCAACCGUUCGCCAGAGUACUACAAGCCACAGCUCAAAACUCAAAGGACUUGGCGGUGCUUUAUAUCCCUCUAGAGGAGCCUGUUCU
rnacentral:rRNA from 1 species